UGGGGAAUAUUGCACAAUGGGCGCAAGCCUGAUGCAGCAACGCCGCGUGAACGAUGAAGGUCUUCGGAUCGUAAAGUUCUGUUGCAGGGGAUGAUAAUGACGGUACCCUGUGAGGAAGCCCCGGCUAACUACGUGCCAGCAGCCGCGGUAAUACGUAGGGGGCUAGCGUUAUCCGGAUUUACUGGGCGUAAAGGGUGCGUAGGUGGUCUUUCAAGUCGGUGGUUAAAGGCUACGGCUCAACCGUAGUUAGCCUCCGAAACUGGAAGACUUGAGUGCAGGAGAGGAAAGUGGAAUUCCCAGUGUAGCGGUGAAAUGCGUAGAUAUUGGGAGGAACACCAGUAGCGAAGGCGGCUUUCUGGACUGCAACUGACACUGAGGCACGAAAGCGUGGGUAGCAAACAGG
rnacentral:rRNA from 1 species